UACGGGGGAGGCAAGCGUUGUUCGGAAUUACUGGGCGUAAAGGGUUCGUAGGUGGCUUGUUAAGUCAGACGUGAAAUCCCUCGGCUCAACCGGGGAACUGCGUCUGAGACUGAUGAGCUCGAGUGCAGGAGAGGAACGCGGAAUUCCAGGUGUAGCGGUGAAAUGCGUAGAUAUCUGGAGGAACACCGGUGGCGAAGGCGGCGUUCUGGACUGCAACUGACACUGAGGAACGAAAGCCAGGGGAGCAAACGGG
rnacentral:rRNA from 1 species